AAUUAUUUGGCUGAAUAUAAGCGGGUAUCUUGAAAAUACUUUACACAGGUGUAAAUCCUGUAAUAAUUU
rnacentral:tRNA from 1 species